rnacentral:rRNA from 1 species
UACGUAGGGGGCGAGCGUUGUCCGGAUUCAUUGGGCGUAAAGAGCUCGUAGGCGGUUUGGCAAGUCGGGUGUGAAAUCCCACGGCUUAACCGUGGAACUGCCUGUCAGACUGCAUGGCUUGAGACCAGGAGAGGUGAGUGGAAUUCCCAGUGUAGCGGUGAAAUGCGUAGAUAUUGGGAGGAACACCAGUGGCGAAGGCGGCUCACUGGACUGGUACUGACGCUGAGGCGCGAAAGCGUGGGGAGCAAACAGG